AUACCGUUCUAGCUCUGCUUCUCUCUUUCUCAUUCUUUAAUUUCGUCAUGUCAAAUUUAUUCUUAUUCAUCUGUGCUGGCCUCGUUCUUACAAGGAAUUCCUUAACAAGCAGCGAAACAUGCACCAACCAGUGCAACUGCAAAACCUGGUUUGGGGUGAAUGCAUGCAAAUUUAGUGAACAUCUCCAGAAGAACUGUAAAUGUUGUCCAGGUUUCUACAUCACAAACGAAUACACAUGUGAAGAUGUAAAUGAAUGUCUAAAGAAACCAGUAAUCUGUCAACAGGACUGUAUAAACACCAUAGGAAGUUAUCACUGUUCUUGCAAAAAGGGGUUUUACCUGGAAAAAAAUAACCACACCUGUAAAAGUAAAACUAAUUGUCAGAACAUGUAUCCCCAGUGUGAACACUAUUGCAAAGACCUCAAAACUGGUCCAGUUUGCUUUUGUAAUGAAGGUUAUGAACUGUCUCACGAUGAAUUUUCUUGUGUUCACAAAACGAAAUGUAUUCCUCACUUCAACUUCUGUCACCAUACUUGUGUCCCACAUCACACAGGGUAUAAAUGCAAAUGCAGAAAAGGUUAUAAGCUAGACCCCAACGGUUACAGUUGUACUAAAAUAACUCGUUCUCAUAGAAGGCAUCAUUUCUUUAGAGGUAUGCAUAGACAUGUUAAACCUACAACACUCCAGCCUGACCAUGUCCAUCACCAUCCCUAUGACUACCACCAUGUGGAGAAUGACUACUACUAUCACUAACUCGACCAGUAAGCUCCUCUACAAAAUGAUGAUGAUGAUGAUGAUGAUGAUGAUGAUGAUGAUGAAAAUAAUAAUAAUGAUAAUAAUAAAUAAAUAAAUAAAUUAGUUAAAACCAACUAAGAUGUAUUUCAAGAGAAAAUUACGAAGAAAUGGAUAUAUUUGGAAUGGAAUUGAUUGUUAUGAGAAUAAAGAACACACACUGAUUGAUUUUCCUCCUCUAUAAAGAGCUAAUCUCCAUCAACAUGACAGAACAAGAAGAUGAACUACCAAACCUACCAACAGCCACAACUACCUACCUAUACAACCACACUCACCUACUUACAGGUAGCCGCGUUUAUCUAGGAACAGCCACCUACCAACGCUCGUACUCUCCUGCCAACCAUCACCCUCACCACAUUCCAACAACCGAACUAAUUUUUGAGCAUGGUGACACUCAUUCUAACUACCAAUGGCUUCACUCAUCUACCAACAUUAACGCUCAACUGACCUGAGGAGAAAGCUCAACAUCAGGCAGGCAUGGCUGUGUGGUAAGAAGCUUGCUUCCCAACCACAUAGCUCCAAGUUCAGUCUUUCUCCUAUACACCCUCUCAUAUCU